rnacentral:rRNA from 1 species
AUGUACAUGCCUACAACAUAGUGUUAAUGCAUUGGAUCCCAUUAGAACUUCGUAGUUAAGCACGCUCGGGUUAGAGUAGUACUGGGAUGGGUGACCGCCUGGGAAGUCUUAGUGUUUUACAUA